rnacentral:snRNA from 1 species
GGAUGAAAGGAGAUAUGGCUGCAAAAUCUGUUACCCCAUUGAUCUCCAGGUUGAUUUGGCUACUCUGGCUGGCUAGGUGAGUCUCCCCUUCCUUCCUCACCCAUGUGUGCCCCUCCUGAAGCUGCACACUUAGUUGAAGAGGAUUACCUUCCCCAAUAGAGCAGAGUACCAUUUCUCUACUAGAAUUUUCAAAUAAACUCUCAAAAGCUGUUAUUUAAAAAAUGGGACUUGUCUCAUAUGUGAGCCCAAGAUCUCUAUUGCUUUUAAUCUACACAUGCAU